CACAGAUCCCUAUGGAAUGCAGGGGCGCUCCCCAGCAUUGCUUGCUCGAAUUCAUUCCUUUUGUUUAGUUUAAAGAGACCAGGUUUGUUCUCUUUAGAGAGAGAAUUUUUACGGGUGAUUGCAUGGAGUGAAGGGUUUUUGGGUCAGAGGGAAAAUUUUCUUGGCAAUGAGUUCCCGCUGCUAGACAACAAAUAAAAAACCAAGGAUGUAGCCAAGAGAUUUCGGAUAUGAUUAGUUUAUUUCCUUCCCAAUGAUUGAGUUGCCCUGCAGCAAGCGAGAGAUACUUCUAGGGAACCUCUGGAAAUAAGAAAAGGAAGAGAGAGAGAGAGAGAG
rnacentral:misc_RNA from 1 species